GCACCGCUGGAUAGCUCAGUCGGAAAGAGCAUGGUGCUGAUAACACCAAGGUCACAGGUUCAAUCUUCAUAUGGGACAGCUGCA